UACGAAGGGGGCUAGCGUUGCUCGGAAUUACUGGGCGUAAAGGGUGCGUAGGCGGGUCUUUAAGUCAGGGGGGAAAUCCUGGAGCUCAACUCCAGAACUGCCUUUGAUACUGAAGAUCUUGAGUUCGGGAGAGGUGAGUGGAACUGCGAGUGUAGAGGUGAAAUUCGUAGAUAUUCGCAAGAACACCAGUGGCGAAGGCGGCUCACUGGCCCGAUACUGACGCUGAGGCACGAAAGCGUGGGGAGCAAACAGG
rnacentral:rRNA from 1 species